rnacentral:rRNA from 1 species
AACGAACGCUGGCGGCAUGCCUAACACAUGCAAGUCGAACGAGACCUUCGGGUCUAGUGGCGCACGGGUGCGUAACGCGUGGGAACCUGCCCUUAGGUUCGGAAUAACUCCCCGAAAGGGGUGCUAAUACCGGAUAAUGUCUUCGGACCAAAGAUUUAUCGCCUUUGGAUGGGCCCGCGUUGGAUUAGCUAGUUGGUAGGGUAAAAGCCUACCAAGGCGACGAUCCAUAGCUGGUCUGAGAGGAUGAUCAGCCACACUGGGACUGAGACACGGCCCAGACCCCAACGGAGGCAGCAGUGGGGAAUAUUGGACAAUGGGCGAAAGCCUGAUCCAGCAAUGCCGCGUGAGUGAUGAAGGCCUUAGGGUUGUAAAGCUCUUUUACCCGGGAUGAUAAUGACAGUACCGGGAGAAUAAGCUCCGGCUAACUCCGUG